CGACCGGCGCACGGGUGAGUAUCGCGUAUCCAACCUGCCUAUUACUUGAGAAUACCCCGUUGAAAGGCGGUCUAAUACUCAAUACUUUCAUAAAUUGGCAUCAUGCUAUGAAAAAAGAUUUAUCGGUAAUAGAUGGGGAUGCGUCUGAUUAGUUAGUUGGUGAGGUAACGGCUCACCAAGGCAACGAUCAGUAGGGGUUCUGAGAGGAAGGUCCCCCACAUUGGAACUGAGACACGGUCCAAACUCCUACGGGAGGCAGCAGCC
rnacentral:rRNA from 1 species